rnacentral:sRNA from 1 species
UGACCACUAUUAAUUUAGGAAUGCCCAGACGGACAGGCGGGUCAGUUGCCGG